UUCACCGUCUUUCAUCGCUUUACGCGAGGAGUUGAAAGUUCAGCUUCUCUUGGUGAAAAAUUCGCUUAAUUUCGGUUUAAACCGAGAAAAAUUGGUGCCACAAGAGUAGUAGACAUUGAUGACUGUCACUGGAACUACGACAUCUGCUCCAUGAUUAAAAAUGUUUGGUUUCUGUAUGGGUUUGGAGGAAGUAAUGGCGAGGUCUGUUGAAGCGUACAAGGACAACUACUAUGAGGUUUUAGACAUCGCGAAAAAGAAAACGAGGAAUAUUUGGAUCAAGAAGUAUCGAAAUCUGACAAUGUGGACAGAACAAGACGUUGCGAUAGACAAAGAACUCUGAUGCCAUCGGAAUACAAUCAACCAAGACCGUCUCUGACAAAAACACACUUGUAGGAUGACCGUGAUGUUUCAGUUCAAGACUUAAUCAAGGAAAGACAACGAUUCAAGCGAAAGACAAGUUUACAGUAUAGUCUCGCUAAUCAAUUAAAAGCAUCGACAUCAAAGUGUAUAAUCAACAAUCAGGAAAGCUGCCGAGCUGUUUCAUCAUGUUGCGCGACGACUUUUAAGAACAUGUGACAGCGAGGAAAUAAUAUCGAAAUAAUCUGCAUUACCUUUUUAAGAUUAGAUAACGAGCGAAAUAACAAUAAUAACAGAGUUAAUAAUAAUAAAAUA
rnacentral:lncRNA from 1 species